rnacentral:rRNA from 1 species
AGACGUCUACGAGUUGAUCCUGGCUCAGGACGAACGCUGGCGGUGUGCCUCACACAUGCAAGUCGAGCGGACGAAGAUUGAAGCUUGCUUCAGUCCUAGUUAGCGGCGGACGGGUGAGUAACACGUAGGAAUCUGCCUUCAGGCGGGGGACAACGGAACGAAAGUUGCGCUAAUACCCCAUAUGCGAGUAAUCGUAAAAGGAGCAAUCCACCGGAAGAUGAGCCUGCGUCCGAUUAGCUAGUUGGUAGGGUAAAAGCCUACCAAGGCUACGAUCGGUAGUUGGUCUGAGAGGAUGAUCAGCCACAAUGGAACUGAGACACGGUCCAUACUCCUACGGGAGGCAGCAGUGGGGAAUUUUACGCAAUGGGCGAAAGCCUGACGUAGCGACACCGCGUGAGCGAAGAAGCCUUUUGGGGUGUAAAGCUCUUUCAACGGUGAAGAUAAUGACGGUAACCGUAGAAGAAGCCCCGGNUAACUUCGUG